rnacentral:rRNA from 1 species
GUUUGAUCCUGGCUCAGGACGAACGCUGGCGGCGUGCUUAACACAUGCAAGUCGAACGGUGACGAGGAGCUUGCUCCUCUGAUCAGUGGCGAACGGGUGAGUAACACGUGAGCAACCUACCCUUGACUCCGGGAUAACAGUUGGAAACAGCUGCUAAUACCGGAUACGACCUCCGCAGGCAUCUGCAGAGGUGGAAAGCUCCGACGGUCAAGGAUGGGCUCGCGGCCUAUCAGCUUGUUGGUGAGGUAACGGCUCACCAAGGCGACGACGGGUAGCCGGCCUGAGAGGGCGACCGGCCACACUGGGACUGAGAUACGGCCCAGACUCCUACGGGAGGCAGCAGUGGGGAAUAUUGCACAAUGGGCGAAAGCCUGAUGCAGCAACGCCGCGUGCGGGAUGAC